ACGUAGGGUGCAAGCGUUAAUCGGAAUUACUGGGCGUAAAGCGUGCGCAGGCGGUUUCGUAAGUCUGUCGUGAAAGCCCCGGGCUCAACCUGGGAAUGGCGAUGGAUACUGGCUCGCUAGAGUGCGGUAGAGGAGAGUGGAAUUCCCGGUGUAGCAGUGAAAUGCGUAGAGAUCGGGAGGAACAUCAGUUGCGAAGGCGGCUCUCUGGACCAGCACUGACACUGAGGCACGAAAGCGUGGGGAGCAAACAGGA
rnacentral:rRNA from 1 species